GACGAACGCUGGCGGCGUGCCUAAUACAUGCAAGUCGAACGCAGUGGGGACGGGUGAGUAACACGUGGGUAACCUCCCAUCAGAGGGGAUAACACUUGGAAACAGGUGCUAAACCGAUACUGAUGGAUGGACCCGCGGUGAAUUAGCGAGUGGGUGAGGUAACCGCUAACCAAGGACACGAUGCAUAGCAGACCUUAGAAGGUAAUCGGCCAAACUGGGACUGAGACACGGCCCAGACGCCGACGAGAGGCUGCAGUAGGGAAUCUUCGGCAAUGGACGAAAGUCUGACCGAGCAACGCCGCGUGAGUGAAGAAGGUUUUCGGAUCGUAAAGCGCUGUUGUUAGAGAAGCGGUAUCUAACCAGAAAGCCACGGCUAACUACGUGCCAGCCGCCGCGGUAAUAC
rnacentral:rRNA from 1 species